rnacentral:rRNA from 1 species
AUUGAACGCUGGCGGCAGGCCUAACACAUGCAAGUCGAGCGGAGCGGCGGACGGAGGAGUAAUGCCUAGGAAUCUGCCUGGUAGUGGGGGAUAACGUCCGGAAACGGGCGCUAAUACCGCAUACUAUCAGAUGAACCUAGGUCGAAUUAGCUAGUUGGGGGGGUAAAGGGCUACCAAGGCGACGCUCCGUAACUGGUCGGAGAGGAUGAUCAUGCAAACUGGAACUUGUACACGGUCCGGACUCCUACGGGAGGCAGCAGUGGGGAAUAUUGUACAAUGGGCGAAAUCCUGAUCCAGCCAUGCCUCGUGUGUGAAGAAGGUCUUCUGAUUGUAAAGCACUUUAAGUUGGGAGGCGUUACCAACAGAAUAAGCACCGGCUAACUUCGUGCCAGCAGCCGCGGUAAUAC